AUGGCGGCGCCCAGGUGGAGCGCGUCGGGCUCCUGGAUCCGGGGAAACGGCCAGGGUUUCGGGAGUCUCUUCACUCUCGUCUCAAAGCCAUUUUGUUCUGCUGCCGCUGCCUCUACGGGCAUAAAUGCCCAGAGAUUAGCGGAGAGGCUCCGAGCCCAGAAACGGGAACAAGACACAAAGAAGGAGCCGGUGUCCACAAACGCUGUUCAGCGGAGAGUGCAAGAAAUAGUGCGGUUCACACGGCAGCUGCAGCGAGUCCACCCCAACGUGCUUGCUAAGGCACUGACCCGAGGAAUUCUCCACCAGGACAAGAACCUUGUGGUCAUCAAUAAGCCCUACGGUCUCCCUGUGCAUGGUGGUCCUGGGGUCCAGCUCUGCAUCACUGAUGUACUACCUAUCCUGGCAAAGAUGCUUCAUGGCCACAAGGCAGAGCCCUUGCAUCUGUGCCACCGGCUGGACAAGGAAACCACAGGCGUAAUGGUGUUGGCUUGGGACAAGGACAUGGCACAUCAAGUCCAAGAGUUGUUUAGAACCCGUCAGGUGGUAAAGAAGUACUGGGCCAUCACUGUGCGUGUCCCCAUGCCCUCAGCAGGAGUCGUGGACAUCCCCAUUGUGGAGAAGGAGGCGCAAGGCCAGCAGCAACACCACAAGAUGACAUUGUCCCCAAGCUACCGCAUGGACGAUGGGAAAAUGGUGAAAGUGCGGCGCAGCCGGAACGCACAAGUUGCUGUAACUCAGUACCAGGUGCUCAGCAGCACUCUCUCCUCCGCCCUCGUGGAGCUCCAGCCCAUCACUGGAAUAAAACAUCAGCUUCGAGUUCACUUGUCUUUUGGAUUGGAUUGUCCAAUCCUUGGUGAUCACAAGUACUCAGACUGGAAUAGGUUGGCCCCCCAGAAGCUGUCCGUGGGCACCCUGAAGAAGCUGGGGCUAGAACAGUCGAAGGCCCGCUACAUCCCCCUUCACCUGCAUGCCCGGCAGCUGAUCCUGCCUGCCCUGGGGUCCGGGAAGGAGGAACUCAACUUGGUCUGCAAACUUCCUCGCUUCUUUGUACAUUCCCUGCACCGCCUGCAUUUAGAGAUGCCAAAUCAGGAUCAAAAUGAGAACAAUGAAGCCAAGUGUCUGGGAGCACAGUGAAGACCCUGAGAGCACCCUGGCACCUGGGAGCACAGUGAAGACCCUGAGAGCACCCUGGCACCUGGGAGCACAGGCUGGAGUGUGAUGGUGUGAUCUCGGCUCACUGCAACCUGCGCUCCCCGGGUUCAAGUGAUUCUCCUGCUUCAGCCUCCCGAGUAGCUGGGAUUACACGUGCCUGCCACCACACCUGGCUAAUUUUUUGUAUUUUUAGUAGAGACGAGGUUUCACCAUGUUGGCCAGGCUGGUCUCAAACUCCUGACCUCAGGUGAUCCGCCCAUCCCGGCCUUCCAAAGUGCUGGGAUUACAGACGUGAGCCACUGCGCCCGGCCUUUCCCAGGUAUUUUCACAUGCUGUGAGGGCACGGCCAUGGUGACUUGUACUCAGUCAGAUACACCCUAAAGGCUCAGCUGGCCCCUGCCUUCUCACCACCGUCAGUCUGUCCACACACAUGCCCCUACCUCCUAGAUGUAUCUGUGCAUCCCGAACCCCUGCACUGUUCAUAUGAUUUCUCGAGGACUAGCCACCCUCCACACCUAUUGGGCUGUUUGCCUACUCCCAGCUCACUCCAUGGGACCUUCGGCAGAGGACUGCAGAAUGCUUUGUCAGGAAACAUAGGAGUGUGGAGACCAGUGAGGAGGCCGACAUGGUCCUCUAUGCAACACGUGACAGUGGCUUGCACUAAGCUGUCACUCCCCAUUCCCACUCCCAGCCGUAGACAACUGCUAAUCUAUUUUCUGGAAAUAGAUUCUUAUUUCCCUAUAGAUUUGCCUAUUUUAGAUGUUUCAUAUAAACAGAAUGAUAGAGUAUGUGCUCCUUUGCCACUGGCUUCGAGUUAGUGUCAUGUGUCCAAGGUUCCUUCACGAUGUAACAUAUGUCACUCUUUCACUUCUUUUUUUGUUGUUUUUGUUUUGAGACAGAGUCUAACUCUGUGGCCCAGGCUGGAUGGAGUGCGGUGGCGUAAUCUUGGCUCAUUGCAACCUCCGCCUCCUGGGUUCAAGCGAUUCUCGUGUCUCAGCUUCAAAAGUAGCUUCGAUUACAGGCAUGUGCCACUAUGCCCGGGUAAUUUUUGUAUUUUUAGUAUAGACGGGGUUUUGCCAUGUUGACCAGGCUGCUCUUGAAUUCCUGGCCUCAAGUGAUCCACCCGCCUCGGCCUCCCAAAGUGCUGGGAUUACCGGUGUGAGCCACAGCACCUGGCCAAUAUUUUACUUCUUUAUAUUGCUGAAUAAUAUUUCAUUGUAUUGAUAUACCAAAUUUUGUUUAACGAUUCAUCAGUUGGUGGCUGUUUCCACUUUUUGACAAUUGUGAAUCACGCUGCUUUGAACAUUCAUGUAUAAGCUUUUAUGUGGAUGUGUAUUUUAACUUCUCUUGGGUACCUACCUAGGAGUGGAAUUGCUGGGUGGUAUGGCAACUCUGUUUCUAGAGCUAGAAUGUUUACAUUCCCAGCAACAAUGUAUGAAGGGUCCAGUUUCUCACCAGCACUUGUUAUUAUUAUCUGUCUUUCUGAUUACAGCCAUCCUAGUGGAUGUGAAGUGGUUUCUCACUGUGGUUUUGAUUUGCAUUUCACUAGUGGCUAAUGAUACUGAGCAUCUUUUCAUGUGUUUAUUGACUAUACGUCCUAAAGAAAUACCUAUGCAAAUCUUUGGCCCAUUUUUAAAUUCAGUUAUUUGCUUUUUAUUAUUAAUUUGUAGGAGUUCUUUAUAUAUCCUGGAUUCCACUUUUUUUGCUGUUUGUUUGAGAUGGAGUUUUGCUCUUGUUGCCUGGGCUAGAGUGCAGUGGCGUGAUCUCGGCUCACUGCAACCACUGCCUCCUGGGUUCAAGUGAUUCUCCUGCCUCAGCCUCUCCAGUAGCUGGGUUUACAGGCAUGCACCACCAUGUUCAGCCAAUUUUUGUAUUUUUAGUAGAGAUGGGGUUUCACCAUGCAGGCUGGUCUCAAACUCCUGACCUCAAGUGAUCCGCCUGCUUUGGCCUCCCAAAGUGCUGAGAUUACAGGCGUGAGCCACCGCGCCCGGCCUGGAUACCACUGUCUUCUUAGAGGUAUUGUCUGCAAAUAUUUUUUCCCUUUGUGUUGUCUUUUCACUUUCUUGAUUAUAUCAUUUGUAAUAGGAAAGUUUUCGAUUUUGAUGUCGUCCAAUUUUUCCUUUUGUUGCUUGUGCUUUUGGUGUCAUAUCUAAGAAACCAUCACCUAAUACAAAGUCUUGGAGAUUUCCUUCUGUAUUUUUGUCUAAGAGUUUUCUAGAUUUAGGUCUAUAAUCCUAAAUCAUUACUGUGUGUGGUAUAAGGAUGGUGUCCAAUUUUGACUGGGUAGCCAGCCGUCCUAGCACCAUUUGUUGAAGUCUGUUCUUUCCCAAGUGGAAUUUUUUUGUAAGUUGUGAUUUUUGAUGGUUAUACUGGGUCAAAUAUAGACAAUUUCAUAGGGUAAAA